GACGAACGCUGGCGGCGUGCUUAACACAUGCAAGUCGAACGGUAAGGCCCUUCGGGGUACACGAGUGGCGAACGGGUGAGUAACACGCGGGUGAUCUGCCCUGCACUUCGGGAUAAGCCUGGGAAACUGGGUCUAAUACCGGAUAGGACUCCGGACUGCAUGGUCUGGGGUGGAAAGAUUUUGCGGUGUGGGAUGGGCCCGCGGCCUAUCAGCUUGUUGGUGGGGUGAUGGCCUACCAAGGCGACGACGGGUAGCCGGCCUGAGAGGGUGAUCGGCCGGAGUAGGCCUGGGAUACGGCCCGGAAUCCGGGGGGAGGCAGCAGGGGGAGGUAUGGCACAAUGGGCGUAAGCCGGAGGCAGGGACGCCGCGUGAGGGGUGACGGCCUUCGGGUUGUAAACCUCUUGCAGCAUCGACGAAGCGAAAGUGACGGUAGGUGCAGAAGAAGGACCGGCCAACUACGUGCCAGCCGCCGCCGUAA
rnacentral:rRNA from 1 species